CGGACCUGCCCGGUGACGUAAGUGUUAAACGGCCGCGGUACCCUAACCGUGCUAAGGUAGCAUAAUCAUUUGCCUUUUAAUUGGAGGCUAGUAUGAAUGGUUUGACGAGAAUUAAGCUGUCUCCAUCAAAAUAUAUAGAAUUUAAUUUUUAGGUGAAGAAGCCUAAAUUUAACCGAGGGACAAGAAGACCCUAUUGAGCUUUAGUGAAUUGAUGUGUGUUUAGUUGGUUAAAUUAGCCAGUUUGUAUUUUAUAAUUUAAGCACAUUAAUAAUCUUUAGUUGGGGCGACUAAGGAACACAAAUAGCUUCCUUUGGCUGUGAAUAGUAAAUAUCGGCUAAUUACAUGGAUCCAGUAUACUGUACUGAUCAAAGGAAAAAGUUACCAUAGGGAUAACAGCGUAAUCUUUCUGGAGAGAUCUUAUCGAAAGAAGGGUUUGCGACCUCGAUGUUGGACUAAGAUAUCCCAAGGGUGCAGAAGCUCUUGAUGGUUGGUCUGUUCGACCAUUAAAAUCUUACAUGAUCUG
rnacentral:rRNA from 1 species